AACGAACGCUGGCGGCAGGCUUAACGCAUGCAAGUCGAACGCCCCGCAAGGGGAGUGGCAGACGGGUGAGUAACGCGUGGGAACAUACCCUUUCCUGCGGAAUAGCUCUGGGAAACUGGAAUUAAUACCGCAUACGCCCUACGGGGGAAAGAUUUAUCGGGGAAGGAUUGGCCCGCGUUGGAUUAGGUAGUUGGUGGGGUAAAGGCCUACCAAGGCGACAAUCAAUAGCUGGUCUGAGAGGAUGAUCAGCCACAUUGGGACUGAGACACGGCCCAAACUCCUACAGGAGGCUGCAGUGGGGAAUAUUGGACAAUGGGCGCAAGCCUGAACCAGCCAUGCCGCGUGAGUGAUGAAGGCCUUAGGGUUGUAAAGCUCUGUCACCGAUGAAGAUAAUGACGGUAGUCGGAGAAGAAGCCCCGGCUAACUUCGUGCCAGCAGCCGCCGUAAAAC
rnacentral:rRNA from 1 species